rnacentral:piRNA from 1 species
UACUUGUUUUGAGAAAUUUGAGGGUGAUG